rnacentral:rRNA from 1 species
GACGGGGGGAUGCAAGUGUUAUCCGGAAUCACUGGGCGUAAGCGUCUGUAGGUGGUCAAAUAAGUCAACUGUUAAAUCUUGAGGCUCAACCUCAAAAUCGCAGUCGAAACUAUUAGACUAGAGUAUAGUAGGGGUAAAGGGAAUUUCCAGUGGAGCGGUGAAAUGCGUAGAUAUUGGAAAGAACACCGAUGGCGAAGGCACUUUACUGGGCUAUUACUAACACUCAGAGACGAAAGCUAGGGUAGCAAAUAGGG